AAACCAGCACCUCAAGUGGUCAGGAGGAUUAUUGGGCCUAAAGCAUCCGUAGCCUGCUUUGUAAGUUUCCGGUUAAAUCCAUUAGCUCAACUGAUGGGCCGCCGGGAAUACUGUGCACCUAGGGAGUGGGAGAGGUAGACGGUACUCGGUAGGAAGGGGUAAAAUCCUUUGAUCUAUUGAUGACCACCUGUGGCGAAGGCGGUCUACCAGAACACGUUCGACGGUGAGGGAUGAAAGCUGGGGGAGCAAACCGGAUUAGAUACCCCAGUAGUCC
rnacentral:rRNA from 1 species